rnacentral:rRNA from 1 species
CGGCCUACCAAGGCGACGAUCAGUAGCCGGUCUGAGAGGAUGAACGGCCACAUUGGAACUGAGACACGGUCCAGACUCCUACGGGAGGCAGCAGUGGGGAAUCUUCCGCAAUGGGCGCAAGCCUGACGGAGCAACGCCGCGUGAGUGAAGAAGGGUUUCGACUCGUAAAGCUCUGUUGUCGGGGACGAACGUAGAGGUUGUGAAUAACAGCUUCUAAUGACGGUACCUGACGAGGAAGCCACGGCUAACUACGUGCCAGCAGCCGCGGUAAUACGUAGGUGGCGAGCGUUGUCCGGAAUUAUUGGGCGUAAAGGGAGCGCAGGCGGGAAGGUAAGUCUAUCUUAAAAGUGCGGGGCUCAACCCCGUGAGGGGAUGGAAACUAUCUUUCUUGAGUGCAGGAGAGGAAAGCGGAAUUCUUAGUGUAGCGGUGAAAUGCGUAGAUAUUAGGAGGAACACCAGUGGCGAAGGCGGCUUUCUGGACUGUAACUGACGCUGAGGCUCGAAAGCGUGGGGAGCGAACAGGAUUAGAUACCCUGGUAGUCCACGCCGUAAACGAUGAAUGCUAGGUGUAGGAGGUAUCGACCCCUCCUGUGCCGGAGUUAACGCAAUAAGCAUUCCGCCUGGGGAGUAC